GUCAGGGGGCGGUGCUGGGCGGGAAGGCACCGCCUCAGCGCUCCCGCUCCGCCAUGGGGUCCGCCCUGAGGUGACAGGCGGGCGGCUCGGCUCCUAGUACCCGCAGCUGCGAGGAAUGUCGCUGAAUGACUUGAAAUAAAACACAUGUAAGAGCUGAGCCAUAACUGGUAGUUUUUGAAGUUGAUAGACGCGCUAAUCAGGCUGGAGCCUUUCGGAAUGCAGCCGGCAGGGAGUAGUCUGUCAGCGCCUUUCUCCGUUCCCCAACAGGAGGUGUGCUGAAGGAAGGCUGCUUUGCUCUUGGCCGAUGGACUAAAGUAAACGUACAGAAAAUGGUGCAUGCAGUCAUCGUUAUCGUCCGCGGCUAAAGAUGAUAAGAGUCGUUUGGCUUCGGUUUAGACAGCCUGAACCAAAUUGAGAAGAAGCUUGCUCAAUUACCCCUCAAAGUAACAAUGGCACUCUUGUUACACUACUGCAGUUGUACACAAAUAAAUA